AGUCCUAUAUUAGGAAGUGAUGUAAUGGCAGAAAAGAUGGGGUUUUGGCCGAUUCUUAAAGACAGCUACAGAGUCAGUAGAUCGUGUCGCGACAGGCAGAUCAUUCCACAGUUGUGGAACAGCUUCUAAGAAGAUGCCCAGUCAUGGAGCCAGUCCGUCUGCCGGCCGACUGCCCUCCUGGAGGCUCGAGAACAUCCGAUCCUCCUGUGGAGAGAAAGAGAGAGAGAGUGAGUGAGACCAAAGUCAUAAUAUGUCAUUCACAGCGCUGAAGAAUGUGUCUGGAGCAGGGCGGCCGGGGCAGCAUGGUGAAGGGAUAAUGUCUAUGUUGCUUUCUGGGAGUCCUGUUUUAAACGGGAUGAGGUGGGGCCAGACAGACUGCUGAGUAAGCUGGCCACUACGCGGUCGCCCUCUAGAACAAACAACGGCAUCUAAAAGAAAGCUUCCCCAGACCCCAAAACAAACAGUCUUGCAUCCCAACGGCAGACAGAGAUGUGACUUUUAAUGUAUUGUGUAAAGACAGCAAAGUCAAUUUGGUUAUUCUAAAACGAAAUGUAAUUAAGAUGCUUUAUUCUGUCUAGAGAUUUUGGACAACCCUUCAUGUCUUGUUCCACUGGAAAAUAAAGUAUGUGAGCUAAAGGGAACUUACAAAUUAUCUUUAUUCGCAUAACCUCACAAGCUUGACAUGUAAAAUAUUCCACUGUGGCUUUGUAAGUGUUUUCAUACUGUCUA